GCGGGCUGCUGCCUGCGCGGGGACCCGCGCCCUGCCCGCUGCCUCACCUGCGCGAGCUGCCGGUCCCUCCCCGUGCUGCCAGCCCGGCCGCGGCGGCUCCCGGCGGGGGAGGCGCGGACAUGCUCGAGUGUAAAUUUUAAUAAUGAAAACAGAAUUAGCUGACGUUCGAGUAUGUACACCAUACAUUUCCACCCACAGACUAGUGGUCUGAAAGAUUUUUUAGGCUGGAUGAAGCAGCAGUGAAGGUGGCGGAGGGAAGGAGCGUGCAGCCCUACAUGCCACGGGAUAUGGAGAGUGUGCUGCACACUCUGGUGGCAACACAGCUAUGACAGCUCACGUCUCCACUGCCAUUUCCCUGGCUGGUACCGUGCAUUGUGCCCUGUGAUCUCAAAGCUAUGUAAUUCCCUCAUG